AUGAGACUUCAGCAGCUGAAAGAAGAAAGCUGUUAUCUGGAGGAAGCAAUAUUUUCAGGCUUUGCGUGGAAUAUGUUGCACGGAUAUAGAAAUACAAAUUUCAGAAGAAUGGAGCUGGAGAAGGUGGAGUUUCAUUAUCAGCUAAAAGGAUUUUAAACAAAUCAGAAGUUGCCCAUCAUUUUGUUCACUGCCAAUAUGAACACUGACUUAUCAAAGACUGCUUGUAAAGGGAGCAAGAAGUCCAAAAUUAAUGUUGUAGGUGAGCGAGAUUGUCAGAAAGCAUAGUUUCGUAAAAGAAUAAAGAUUAUCUCACUGAAGUGGAGGCA
rnacentral:lncRNA from 1 species